UCCUUUUGUCUGAGAACAAAAAAGCUUUAGUUGGCUGAAUUUCACUAUUUCACUCUGGGGCCUACACACACACACACACACACACGUCACACAAAUGCUCAAUAAAAAUACCCCUGCUAAGUAUCUAUUAGGAUCAACUUCAGCUUUGAGGGCUCCCAGGAUGAUCAGAGAAACCCCAAGGCAGAGGAGGAAGGAGCCACAUCCACUGGGUGAGUAGUCUCCUGGAUCCUCAGCCAGCCCUUCUGUAUUCCUUAGUUGACUUUCCCAUUCUAGUGAGGGUCUCUGCCUUCCUCAUGAGGAACCCCCAUGUGAUGUCACUCCCCCAUCCCUCACAGCCUUUUACUCCCUAUUUUCCCCAAACCCCAGUAAACCUGUCUGCUGACCUGCUCCUGCCCCAUCCUUCUUACGGGUGAGCUGGCUCUGGAGUUUAGACAAAGCACAGCAGUCAGCAGGACUGACCCUCUGCAGCUGUCUGCAACAACCCAGAACUCCUCCAAGCCAUGGCAGCAAGAACACAAAAGACAUGGUGCAGCAAGAAGAUGCCCAGGGUGCCACUGACUGCUGCCUUACUUGAGCAGCAGCAGCAGCAGCAGCAGCAGCAGCAGCAGCAGCACCUUCCUGGGGCAUACAGACAGGAGCAACAGGUCUCUGUAGUGUGAAAUCUUUUGACCUGGUCUCCCUGAGAUGGAAGAGCCAUGGGACACCUAUAUGUGCCAAUGCUUUGGCCAUUGCUGGAACCUAUCUGAGGAACCAAGCAGGAGUGGAUAAGCGCCGCCAGGGACCUAUAGACCAGACUGCAAACUAGGAUCUGACAAGACUUUGCCUAUCUUCAGCCAUCAGCAGUGAGGAGACUGGGCACUUCUCUCCAGUCUGGGAACGGCUGAGCUUGGCUCGGAGCUCUGUUCAGCUACUGUCUCCUUGAUGUGCCCUUAAUUAAAGCUACUAUUAUACUUU